CAGGUAACCUGACAUUCCCAGUGUCCAGUACAUCCUCGCCUCCCACCACCCAGGGGCUCCCCAUCACGGUGGAGUACAACAUUGUGGACGGACUGACCCAUUCCUUCGGCGAUGCUGUGAGCGUUUCCGUGCCUGGAGGAAGUCCCUUGAUCCGGGUUCUGGAACGGGCCCGGGAUCUGUAUCCCGAUCGUUUCAGCUUUAGUAUCACACAGAAACUGUGGGGCCCAUCUCUGACCACCGUCCAGGGUCUAACGGCAUCCAGUCAGAACAGAACUUAUUGGCAGCUCCUGAGUGGAUCCAAGCCACUGGAUCAGGGUAUCGGUGAUUACAAGCCCAAAGACGGGGAGCAAAUCUUUGCAAAAUACAGCAACUACUGAUAGGGAACUGAGUGCGAUUCAGGAAGGGAAAUCGAGAACGAUGGAACGCAAGGAAGGAAUCUUCCCCUUCUCCCAUGAUGCUGCCUUCCAGUACCAUCCCAGCAUACCUCCUGCUUAUUCGGAAAUCACCCACCCCUUUCUCCACACGCAGAAGUCGUUCUGCUUUGAACUUGGAAGCCUCUCAAACUAACUGAAAGAUGCUGUCUGUAUCACCUCUCUGACUGAUUAAUACUGAGCUCACACCAUU